AGUUGCAUUUCACCUGCCUCCAAUGUAUGUGCCUGUGGAAACAGGCAUUUAUUGUUGUUAAGUCUCUGCUCCACUGAGCACCCUCUGCUGUUGGGACCUGAGCCUCUAGAAAGCAGUGUUAGGCCACACGUGCUGACUAUUGUUCCAGUGCCAGGAAAAUGGUUAGCUGUUCUCUCUCUGCCAUGCACUAGGAACACCCAUGGAGUUAGCCAGUGGGUCUCUGGCACGUGAACUCGCUGAUGUGUUUGCCAUCUGUUUUAGGAGCUGCUAGUCUCCCUCUCAAUUACCGUGUGUGGUUAGUGCCCCUCCUCAAAAGUCGAGCACAUCUGUGAGCCCGUACAAUACCAGGAGGAACAGUGGCGAGGUCUUAGGGAAGGACUUGCUUUAGUAUUUUGACAGAACUGUGAAGUCAGCUCUCCGGAACACAGGACUUACCUCUUGGAUACCCAAAAUUGGAUUUUUCUGCACAGCCUCAUUGGAAAGUCUGCUUUCCCACUCAUUGGUCAAUCAUGUCCUUUCCCCUCAUGAUUAAAUCAUCUUCCAGACAGUGAUUUUAAUGGCUUUAAACUAUCCCAUCAGACGAAGGAAGAACAAUUCCAAUCAGCAGCAGGGAAUAGAAGUUUGUUACUCAUCCAAUAGCCCAUGCCUCAGAACAACAACUUUGGAAGAAACCCAGUGAGUCCCUGAGAUGAUUCUCCCCCUUUAAUGUUGGAGAGGGAGGGAUGGUAAGUUGAACAUACUUUAUUUCUGCUUUCCUAGAAAAAAUAUGUACUCAUUCUAGUAACUUUGGAGAAUGCAGAGAAAUUAGAGUAAAAAUUGUUUUUCAUUUAAACAGACUUUAUUUAUUAGAAUGGGUUCCCAGCAGAAUUGGUUAGAAGGUUCUGUAAAGAUUUCUGCUUGGGUGCAUUAUGAUUCUAUCUGCUGCUGAUCUCUUCAAUUUUUAGAGAUGGUAUGAC
rnacentral:lncRNA from 1 species